rnacentral:rRNA from 1 species
AUUGAACGCUGGCGGCAGGCCUAACACAUGCAAGUCGAGCGAGCGGCGGACGGGAGAGUAAUGUAUGGGGACUGCCCGAUAGAGGGGGAAAACUACUGGAAACGGUGGCGAAUACCGCAUACGGUCGGAUAACCCAUAUGGGAUUAGCUAGUAGGUAAGGUAAUGGCGUACCUAGGCGACGAUCCCUAGCUGGUCUGAGAGGAUGAUCAGCCACACUGCGACUGAGACACGGCCCAGCCUCCUACGGAGGCAGCAGUGGGGAAUAUUGCACAAUGGGCGCAAGCCUGAUGCAGCCAUGCCGCGUGUAUGAAGAAGGCCCUAUGGUUGUAAAGUACUUUCAGUCGGGAGGCGUGACCGACAGAAGAAGCACCGGCUAACGCCGUGCCAGCAGCCGCGGUAAUAC